rnacentral:rRNA from 1 species
CGCGAAGAACCUUACCUGGGCUCGAACGGCUUUUCAACGACGGUGGAAACAUCGUUAUCCCGCAAGGGAGUAGAGUCGAGGUGCUGCAUGGCUGUCGUCAGCUCGUGUCGUGAGAUGUUGGGUUAAGUCCCGCAACGAGCGCAACCCUUGUCCUGUGUUGCCAUCAUUCAGUUGGGCACUCUCAGGAGACCGCCAGCGAUAAGUUGGAGGAAGGUGGGGAUGACGUCAAGUCAUCAUGGCCUUUAUGUCCAGGGCUACACACGUGCUACAAUGGGCGGUACAAAGCGCUGCAAACCCGCGAGGGGGAGCCAAUCGCAUAAAACCGUUCUCAGUUCGGAUCGCAGGCUGCAGCUCGCCUGCGUGAAGCUGGAAUCGCUAGUAAUGGUAUAUCAGAAUGAUACCGUGAAUACGUUCCCGGGCCUUGUACACACCG